UGAUACAGCCAUGCCACGCUGGACAAACCCAAUCCCAUCUGAUCUUGAAAGCUAAGCACGGCCUGGUUAGUACUUAGAUGGGAGACCACCUAGGAAGACCAGGUACUGUAGAUG
rnacentral:rRNA from 1 species